rnacentral:rRNA from 1 species
CUUCCGCCGGACCUGACUGCUAUCGGAUUGAUACUAAGCCAUGUGAGUCUUUGUAGCAAUACAAGGCAGACGGCUCAGUAACGCGUAGCCAACCUACCCUAUGGACAGGGAUAACCUCGGGAAACUGAGGAUAAUACCUGAUAGAUCAUAAUGCCUGGAACGGUUUAUGGUCCAAAUGAUUCGUCGCCGUAGGAUGGGACUGCGGCCUAUCAGCUUGUUGGUGAGGUAAUGGCCCACCAAGGCUAUUACAGGUACGGGCUCUGAGAGGAGAAGCCCGGAGAUGGGUACUGAGACACGGACCCAGGCCCUAUGGGGCGCAGCAGGCGAGAAAACUUUGCAAUGUGCGAAAGCACGACAAGGUUAAUCCGAGUGAUUCCUGCUAAAGGAAUCUUUUGUUAGUCGUAAAACCACUGAUGAAUAAGGGGUGGGCAAGUUCUGGUGU